CAUUCUUUUCAUUUCAAUCAUUCAUUUCAUUAUAUUCUUCUUCCUUGGCUGGCGCAUCGAGGUUGCACAGAAUAGCCAUGCCGCUGCUGCUUCCAGACAUUCAUAGGUUUAAGGGCUGCCACAAGAAGUUACUAGUAGAAAAUGGAUGACCGACGACUAUCGUAAACUCAUUGAAGGCUAUCUAACAUUGGACUUGGUUGGACAAGACCAAGAUUUUCAUCAAUAAAAUUAUACCUAGUGUCAUCCCUUGUCUCAGUCAGUUGCCAGUGUCUUUGGGAUGAAUUUGUAAAUGCGGUGAUAUGUAUGAAUAGUAUGAAAGGACUUUUGAAGUUCGGAAAGGGAAAUGAAGAAUAUGUCUGAGUUUAAGUUGUGAAUAGAACUGACUUCAG